GCGGUUCAUACCCAGGAGCUCUGUGAGGCAGGGAGAGCAGCGUCAGCAGGAGCCGUGCUGGCCCCAGAACCCCAUGGGAUGCUGCAGGAGCAGGGGCACGAGGGCGUGCUGGAGCCAUCCGCGGUAGGGCAGGCGGAGCCGGGGCGGGCUGCUCCCCGCGGCCAGCAGCGCGCCCCACAGCCAGCCCAGCGCUGCCGCCGCCCGCAUCCUCC
rnacentral:lncRNA from 1 species